rnacentral:rRNA from 1 species
GGUCAAAUCAUCAUGCCCUUUAUGUCUUGGGCAACACACGUGCUACAAUGGCUAUAACAAAGUGAAGCGAGCCGGUGACGGUAAGCCAACCACAAAAAAGUAGUCUCAGUUCGGAUUGCAGUCUGCAACUCGACUGCAUGAAGCUGGAAUCGCUAGUAAUCGCGGAUCAGCAUGUCGCGGUGAAUACGUUCCCGGGCCUU